UGGGGAAUAUUGGGCAAUGGAGGAAACUCUGACCCAGCGACGCCGCGUGCGGGAUGAAGGCCUUCGGGUUGUAAACCGCUUUCAGCAAGGAAGAAGCGAAAGUGACGGUACUUGCAGAAGAAGCACCGGCUAACUAUGUGCCAGCAGCUGCGGUAAUACGGAGGGUGCAAGCAUUAAUCGGAUUUAUUGGGCGUAAAGGGCGCGUAGGCGGUAAGGAAAGUCAGAUGUGAAAUUCCGGGGCUCAACCUCGGAGCAGCAUCUGAAACUUCCCUACUUGAGGUAAAGCGGGGAAAACGGAAUUCCACAUGUAGCGGUGAAAUGCGUAGAUAUGUGGAAGAACACCGGUGGCGAAGGCGGUUUUCUAGCUUUUACCUGACGCUGAGGCGCGAAAGCGUGGGGAGCAAACAGG
rnacentral:rRNA from 1 species